rnacentral:rRNA from 1 species
GAUGAACGUUGGCGGUGUGCCUAAUACAUGCAAGUCGAACGGUGACGAUUUUGUAGUAAUACGAAUGAAAUCACAGUGGCGAACGGGUGAGUAACGCGUUGGUGAUCUGCCUCGAAGUGUGGAAUAACGCUCCGAAAGGAGCGCUAAUACCGCAUGUGCUCUCGAUGUUUAGAAAGUUGAGAGUAAAGGAUUUAUUCGCUUCGAGAGGAGCCUGCGUCCCAUCAGCUGGUUGGUAGGGUAACGGCCUACCAAGGCAAUGACGGGUAGGGGACCUGAGAGGGUGGCCCCCCACAAUGGAACUGAAACACGGUCCAUACACCUACGGGUGGCAGCAGUAGGGAAUAUUAGAAAUGGACGAAAGUCUGAUCUAGCGACACCGCGUGUGCGAAGAAGGCCUUCGGGUUGUAAAGCACUUUUUGGAAGGAAUAGGAAGGAAGGUACUUCCAGAAUAAGUCUCGGCUAACUACGUG